GUGUCAUGAAAUGAAGAGAGUGAUGGAAUGGGAGUGGCUGACCACUCUCCUUCCAAAUCUGAAGGAGAUUAUAACAAAGAGUUGUGAGAACUUAGAGGAGAUAAUACGUGGCUCAUUGCCGAGCGGAGCCACUUGUCACCUUACAUAUCUUGAAGUAAAUUGUUGCAACAACAUGAAGAGGGCGCUGCUGACGCAAGACAUGGUGCUACACCUCCCUUUCCUCCAAGAGAUAUUAGUCAAAGACUGCAAGGGCAUAGAGGUGAUAAUGGGCACUGUUGCCAAAAUGACGCACUUUUCCUUCCCGAAGUUAAUGAACCUUGGUCUAUGUAAUCUUCCGGAGCUGAAGAGCAUAUGCGAUGGGACCACGAGAUGCAAUUCCCUCCAGUUGAUAUCUAUUGACAAUUGUCCAAAACUGAAGGGGAUUCCUCUGCAGCUGCCUGUGCUUGACAAUGGGCUCCUUCUCCUCCCCCUUCUCUUCAAGAGAUUCAGAUAAAUCGGCAGACGUGGGAGUCGCUGGAGUGGGAUCAUCCCCUUGCCCGUUCUACACUUGAACACUUCAUCGAGUUUCUUGACUGAUGAAGCCGUGGAGGAUCCCAUUGAGUAUGAAUCGUCUUCUGAUGGCAGUGGACAUCAGCCUCAACGCCAUUGCUACAUCAUCCUGCUCGAUUGAUGUUUAAAAUACCUCUGAACCUUACGAUGACAUAUGCUUAAUUUAUGCCUUAUUUUAUAAUCUAUGAUAACUACGUCUUGUUUCUGGAUUCUUCGGUUUGUAUUAUCCCUUA